UACGUAGGGUGCGAGCGUUGUCCGGAAUUAUUGGGCGUAAAGAGCUCGUAGGCGGUGUGUCGCGUCGGCCGUGAAAACCUGCAGCUUAACUGUGGGCUUGCGGUCGAUACGGGCAUCACUGGAGUUCGGCAGGGGAGACUGGAAUUCCUGGUGUAGCGGUGAAAUGCGCAGAUAUCAGGAGGAACACCGGUGGCGAAGGCGGGUCUCUGGGCCGAUACUGACGGCUGGAGGAGCGAAAGCGUGGGGAGCGAACAGG
rnacentral:rRNA from 1 species